rnacentral:rRNA from 1 species
GGGACAUUUGUGGAGAGCACAGGCGCGGAGCGGAAAGCCGCGUGCAAGCGAAGGAGGAGUCACAUAGGAAAAACCGUGUGGCAAUCCAGAGGCGUGAUGCGGACCGAACUAAAGUAGGGAAGUGUGUGAGCCAUGAAUCAAGAAAAGCCGCUAUUGUUUUUAAGAUACCCGUACCGUAAACCGACACAGGUGGAUGAGGAGAGAAUCCUAAGGCCGGCGGAAGAAGCAUUGUUAAGGAACUCGGCAAAAUGACCCCGUAACUUCGGGAGAAGGGGUGCCAACGAGAGUUGGCCGCAGAGAAUAGGCUCAAGCAACUGUUUAGCAAAAACACAGGUCUAUGCAAAACCGUAAGGUGAGGUAUAUGGGCUGACGCCUGCCCGGUGCUGGAAGGUUAAGAGGAGAGGUUAGCGCAAGCGAAGCUUUGAAUUUAAGCCCCAGUAAACGGCGGCCGUAACUAUAACGGUCCUAAGGUAGCGAAAUUCCUUGUCGGGUAAGUUCCGACCCGCACGAAAGGCGUAAUGAUUUGAGCGCUGUCUCGACAAUGCAUCCGGUGAAAUUGAAGUACCAGUGAAGAUGCUGGUUACCCGCGCCAGGACGGAAAGACCCCAUGGAGCUUUACUCCAGUUUGGUACUGGGGUCCGGCGGUGCAUGUACAGGAUAGGUGGGAGGCUGAGAACCUGGAACGCCAGUUUCAGGGGAGCCAUUGUUGGGAUACCACCCUUGUGCUGCUGGGCUUCUAACCAGCGGCCUUUAUCAGGCCGGGGGACAAUGCCAGACGGGGAGUUUGACUGGGGCGGUCGCCUCCGAAAGGGUAUCGGAGGCGCUCAAAGGUUCCCUCAGAAUGGUCGGAAACCAUUCGAAGAGUGCAAAGGCAGAAGGGAGCUUGACUGCGACACCGACGGGUGGAGCAGGUACGAAAGUAGGACUUAGUGAUCCGGUGGUAUUAAGUGGGAAUGCCAUCGCUCAACGGAUAAAAGCUACCCUGGGAUAACAGGCUUAUCACUCCCAAGAGUUCACAUCGACGGAGUGGUUUUGGCACCUCGAUGUCGGCUCAUCGCAUCCUGGGGCUGUAGUAGGUCCCAAGGGUUGGGCUGUUCGCCCAUUAAAGCGGUACGCGAGCUGGGUUCAGAACGUCGUGAGACAGUUCGGUCCCUAUCCGGCGUGGGCGUAGGAUAUUUGAGAGGAGCUGUCCUUAGUACAAGAGGACCGGGAUGGACUGACCUCUGGUGUACCGGUUGAACCGCCAGGUUCACGGCCGGGUAGCCAAGUCGGGAAGGGAUAAACGCUGAAGGCAUCUAAGCGUGAAGCCCCCCUCAAGAUGAGAUAUCCCAUUCGAAAGAAGUAAGACCCCUUGAAGACGACGAGGUAGAUAGGGCAGAGGUGGAAGUGCCGUAAGGCAUGGAGCUGACUGUUACUAAUCGGUCGAGGGCUUGUC